GUAAACGGACCAAACUUCAGUCAGGAGAACAACUGAGAUAAUCCAUCCACAAUACCAGUGAGCCUGUGAGCAGACAGAGGUGGAAUUUCACUGGGAAUCUGCUGCUAAGUGACUGGAAUGAUAAGUGGCCGGUUUGAUGUGGAAGCUUCUCGCCGUGUUUCUGGACGUCAGUCUGACGGCGUUCCCACAGAGCUGCAGCCGGUCAGCUGACCCAGCGAGAGGAGUUUCUCUCAGUCUGUGCCGUCAGUUUUCCAACGAGACAGGAAAUCAUCUUUAGGACAUUUCAAUGAUGUGAGAGGAAGUCUGCACUUCAGCUCGACGGAAGAGAAAAUUAGUUGGCGACUGGAUGUGGAGCCCAGCAGGUUGCUCUUACUGGGACACUGUCCAGUGACAGCCUCGGCCAGUUCUCCUCUUGUUAUCCAAGAUGCUCCUUUCAGAGGUCUCCCCAGUGGAUCAUCUGCCUUCCUCCUAUCCUCCUCUGUCACACCAUGUCCUCCUCCACUACAUCCAUCCACCCCCUCUGAGCUCGUCGUUCUCCUCCUGCCUGGCAGCUCCAUCAUAUUCACCCUCCCUCCUCUGCACAUGUGCAAACCAUCUGAGCCUCUCGGACUCUGAGCUGUCCAUCUGACGGGCUCAUUCCUGGUCCUUUCCAUGCUGCUCACUCCCAAUAAACAUCUGAACACCUUCAUCUCGGCCUCCACCGUCUCCAUCUCUAUCCAUCCCUGACACUCGUCUCCAUCGUCACCCUCCCUGCACUUUGUCCUUCACCUCUCCUGCACUGUCCAAACUUCUGCUGUCUCAUUUCUUACAUUAAUGGUUCAAGUGACAGUAUGACAACUCAGGAUACAGCGACGUUGUAAACAUUAUAACUGCCAGAAGUUUCCUGAUAAUAUCACUCCUCUUCCUCCGUCAGCCUACAUCGACCUACGAGCUGCCAUGUGCAUGACCGACGCGCAUUUUGCUGCAGUAUUUUCAGUCCCAGCUGCACGUUCCUCUCUGCAUGGAGGACAUAAUAUGCCAUUUUUCUGAAGAGUUGCUUUCUCUCACAGACGAUGCUGAGCUGACAGUUUUUCCUUAAUGGGAGACAGAUGCAGUGUGGGUAACCGUGACCUCAUAUCAGAGCAGUUAUAUUAUGUGAUGGUAAUUUGAUAAUCGUCCCGAGCGGUGUCCUGGAGUUUCAGAGCGAUCUGUGGAGCGCUGGCUUGUUUUUCUGUCCUCUGCCUGCAGGCAAACCUGUGCAGCCUGUUCUUAUUAUCACUGCAGCUGCAGCUCAGAGUGCAGGCCGGCCUCGCUGCGUCCCGACUGUUAAACAGCUUCCUGCUGAGGAGGGCAACACGUAGGAGCAGGAAAAGGAACCGAAUUCAGGCGAAUUCCAUCGAUUUAUUUAUUAUUACUUUUGUGAGUUACAUGAUAAUAAUCCACCCUAACACACACGCAAUCCUGGACUUUAAAACUGGGAAGUAAUGACCAUGGAUCAGCCCCGCCCAGUCGGUCUGAGCUGGGUUUGAGGUGGCCGGUGGGACUUUGGAGCCAUAAAGUUCUUUUUAUCAGAGCAGCCCGGCUCAUCGGUCAGAUCUCAGAGUGUCAAAAACACACACGAUGCAAUACUUAACACCAGAAGCUGCUUCUACGUGUGGAGAUGAAGGAAAAGGUGGAGAAAAAAUGUUAAAAAAGACGUCACAGUUCGCAAAACGUGUGUGUGAAAAGGCGGCUGUGGAGAGCUGACCGUGUAAUGCUGCAGAUGAUUGAUGCUAACUGUAGUCAGCACAGCUUCAUUUCCCACUCACAGCAUAAAGGAAAAGUACUGCACACACACACACACACACACACACACACACAGUAUGCUCCAAACAUGCAUUAGCGAUGUAACGGUUGAAGCUUCUGACUAAAAGCCAGGUGCAGCAGCCCGAUGGAGGGUCUGGAGGCAGACGUGAGCAUAUUUGGACGAGCCGGUGGAGCAUCGAGUUGUUUUUAUGUCAUGGUGAAAAUGGUAAAACAAGCCUCUGAAAGAGAGCACGAGUGUCUGCAGACCCCAGGCCAGCAGUCACGUGUCUCUAAAAACAUGUGUGCAGUUUUUAACGUUCCUGUCUGCUUUGUGUCAAAGAACUCAAACUCUGACACAAAGGGAUUGGUGUCAGUGUUGACCACAGCUGGUCAUGUUACAUAUUAAUGCAAAACUAAGAGCAAUCAUUUUAUUCUAUUAAGAUUAGGUGUACUGAACCAAAUUACUAGUAAUUCACUAAGGUAACGGCUAAAGUGCAGUGACUCCAACUGUGGCGAGACGUUCUCUCACCAAACUGGUGCUCAGAUGUUUUUGGGUUUUUUUAAAUCCACCCAGGAGAACCAUCCAUGAUUAAUGUACUAGUUCUAUCGCUCUUAUUUUGAAGGUUUGGACCUUCCUGUGUUGUGUUUCUCUGCCAACUCACUCACAGCUGCUUCCAGAUAAUGUUUUCAUUUUUUUUGUUCUUUUACAUCUGGAAAGCAGCUUUUUUAUUUUGAUGUUGUACCAAACGGAGAAAGUUUCCAGGACGUCAGCUGGUCAGAGCUCUGAAUCUGUAAUAAACGGAGAAAUCUCUGUGCGAUGUGCCUCUGAUCCUCUGAGCUGCUGUUGGCUGGUGCCUUAAUGAAAACACUGAGAUGAAUGUGAGUGUUUUGGCCAACACACAAUCUGAAAGGUGAAAGAUUUUGUCAUGCCAGACUGAAUCUGACACCUGAGACGCCUGAGCCCACAUCAUCAGCACGUUUAUCUACAGAUGGCUGUUGUGCAACCUGUGUGAGUGCAGUUCACUUCAGAUGGAAGAGAUCUGAGUUUAGAUCGGGAGCGCUCUGUCAUGUUUAACAGGGUCACGGAUCCACAGAAAACUAAAUCUAAAAACUGGAAAACUUUAGAGACGCUUUGAACUGGAUGCUUAUUCAUGUUUACUUCCUGUUUUGGUUUGACCUUCAUGUCUUCUAAAAUCCACAGUCUAAAAGUCAAAGUCUUAAAUCUGAAUCCCUGUUAAUAUUUGUUUCUGUAACAGCCAACAUGUCCGCCUUUUAUAUGUUUUUAAUCAGCUCAUGGCGAUAAAGCAUGAAUCAGCUUUUAUGACUGCGCUCCGGCGAAUCAGAUCGAAGCAGAAAGUCUCAAACUCUGCUUUUACUUUGGCAAUCCCCCCCCCCAACAUCAUGUUACCCAACAGCCUGCAUGGAGCCAAAUCCAUCAUCCUUUAACUCAGUUUCCCAGACGUUUCUCUUCGGCUCGUGUGCAGACUUGAUGCUGUGGGAGCUGUGCUGAUUGGACCGUGCUGCUCAGGUUUGUUAAGUUUAUUAAGGUCAUAAGUUGAAUGAGCGAAGGCGAAGGCGUGCCUGUGUCCUUUUCCAUCAGGUCUCUGUUUUAUUGCUGCUGAUGAUCAAUAAAACGUCCACAAGCCAACAUCUAACCCGUCAGUCUGUUUACACAUGCCUGAAUUCCCAUGGUUCCUGCUCCCGAGGCUGAUUUCGACUAAUGAUUAUAGUAAUAAUAACAUUUAUAAAAAAAGUGUUGAAGCAACGACUACAGAAGAUUCUCAGCUUUCAGUUCUGUGCCGAUGACACUGUGGUUUAUGGUCACAGUUCAUUACGCACACAGCUCACUGUGUCCUCCUGAGUCAACAGGGUCAGCUGAAGGGUUAGCGCUCAGCUGGAUCAGUGGGAUGAAAGCUUCACUCUGAUUGGUUGUUAUGUCGUUAGACGACGGCACUUCCUCUUAAAGCACUUAUUUGUUUAAUUGUUACGGGUCAGGUGAAGGACGGUCAGCAGGUAACACUGAGCUGCUUCCACAUGUUUUAAACUUUGUGGACUUUUUAAACCAGCUCCAAUCUUAGCCUUGAAAAACAAGCUAAAUAUCGAGGUCACGGCCGGGGACCAAAAUGUACACAUUAACAGGUAGUAGCAGGAGUGGGUUAGCAGCUGGUAACCAUUACAUGGUCUGGUUAUCUGGUUAACCACCAACUGCUUCAGUUCAUCCAGACGAGCACCAAUCAGCUAACUGAAGGCUCCAAGUCAGGCUAAUGACAGAAAUCAUUUUAUUUAAACGUCCGCAGGUAACAGCAAACACCUUUUAAACCACAGCAUGACUCUCAGUCAAACUAGCACACGAUCAAACCUCCUGAGAGCAAAACAACCAAUCACAGCAGACCCUCCUCUGCCAGCAACAGCCAGUUAAAAGCAUGAAUGUAGGCUAAUGUCCUCAAACUGAACAGCUCGGAAUCAGAAAUAAUCGCCAUCAAAAUCCAUCACAGGGUUCCUUUAUCCUUCUCUCACGCCCAUCUGCAGAAACACUCUUCCUGUCAUGACCCUGUGCCCUCUCGGCUGACUCUGUAUGGCUACAAGUGUUUUUGUUGUGUUGCGUCUCUCUCUCUCCCCUCCCGCGCACUGCGCUCUACCGGGGCGGAGUCAUGACGGCUCCAGCCCCUGGCUCGGACACCUGCAAGCAAUCAUAUCAUCACCACGCUCGCUUCUUAAGGCGGCUGCUGAGAGUGCUUCUUCGCUGGAUUAUUGUGUAACACUCGUCAGUGUCAUUGCAAGUCUGAGCUUUUUCCCGAGUUUCCUUCGUGCCGCAACUCACCUGUUCGUCCUCCCUGUGCCAGAUUUCUCGCCAGCCUGAGGACCGCCGUGUGGUGAGCUAAAAGCCAGAGUCCGAGCUAACCUGAGCUUCAGUGGAGGAUUGUGUACAUAGCCCGUUCCCUUCCUGUGCCUGUGUUCCCCGGAGACCCUCUUCCUGUGCCCCCUCACCUGUAUAUAUCCGCACCUGGUGUCUGUGUGUAAUAAAUUGUGAACUUUAGUGACGGUCUGCCUCCGAGUCUCCCCUGAGCCUGACACUUCCACCCUUAACCAGAGCAGAUGCCUCCUCACUGGGAGGCAACCAGCUCGAGAUCCUUUGCUGGUGGAGCACAAAGUGUUGAGGUUUUCUCUGAUGUUUCUCACCCUGACCACUCGUUACUGAGGUCCUCAAAUACUGUUCCAACAGCCAAGGCCGCAGGUCACCUCUUGGCCUUGCAAGACGGACGUUAGGGUUAAAAACACUCACUGGUCUGAGCCUGAGAACCAGAACCCACCCAACCUGACCUGACGCUGAGGACAACAGUCACAAUCCCAUCAGACGUGCUGCAGUAUCAGUGGAAAUUAAUCUGCAGAUCUGCCUGCACAGAGCAGAUGAGGAGGACAGGAAAUCAGACACAUAAUGCAUUUUCAAAAUAAAAGAACCUUGUGUUUGAAGAUGUGCAAAGGAUGGAACACAAGUAUGAUGAGAAAG